UGUAGUCAUAUGCUUGUCUCAAAGAUUAAGCCAUGCAUGUCUAAGUAUAAGCAAUCUAUACAGUGAAACUGCGAAUGGCUCAUUAAAUCAGUUAUCGUUUAUUUGAUAGUACCUUACUACAUGGAUAACCGUGGUAAUUCUAGAGCUAAUACAUGCUAAAAAUCCCGACCUCUGGAAGGGAUGUAUUUAUUAGAUAAAAAACCAAUGCCUUCGGGCUCCUUGGUGAUUCAUGAUAACUUUACGAAUCGCAUGGCCUUGUGCCGGCGAUGGUUCAUUCAAAUUUCUGCCCUAUCAACUUUCGAUGGUAGGAUAGUGGCCUACCAUGGUUUCAACGGGUAACGGGGAAUUAGGGUUCUAUUCCGGAGAGGGAGCCUGAGAAACGGCUACCACAUCCAAGGAAGGCAGCAGGCGCGCAAAUUACCCAAUCCCAAUACGGGGAGGUAGUGACAAUAAAUACUGAUACAGGGCUCUUCUGAGUCUUGUAAUUGGAAUGAGUACAAUUUAAAUCCCUUAACGAGGAACAAUUGGAGGGCAAGUCUGGUGCCAGCAGCCGCGGUAAUUCCAGCUCCAAUAGCGUAUAUUAAAGUUGUUGCAGUUAAAAAGCUCGUAGUUGAACCUUGGGCCUGGCUGGCCGGUCCGUCUCAUCGCGUGUACUGGUCCGGCUGGGCCUUUCCUUCUGGCUAGGCACAUGCCCUUUACUGGGUGUGUGUCCGAACCAGGACUUUUACUUUGAAAAAAUUAGAGUGUUCAAAGCAGGCAUAUGCUCGAAUACAUUAGCAUGGAAUAAUAGAAUAGGACGUGUGGUUCUAUUUUGUUGGUUUCUAGGACCGCCGUAAUGAUUAA
rnacentral:rRNA from 1 species